UACGGAGGGUGCGAGCGUUAAUCGGAAUUACUGGGCGUAAAGCGUGCGUAGGCGGCCCGUUAAGUCAGAUGUGAAAGCCCCGGGCUCAACCUGGGAACGGCAUUUGGAACUGGCGGGCUAGAGUUGGGUAGAGGUAAGUGGAAUUUCAGGUGUAGCGGUGAAAUGCGUAGAUAUCUGAAGGAACACCAGUGGCGAAGGCGGCUUACUGGACCCGAACUGACGCUGAGGCACGAAAGCGUGGGUAGCAAACAGG
rnacentral:rRNA from 1 species